rnacentral:rRNA from 1 species
GAUGAACGCUGGCGGCGUGCCUAAUACAUGCCAGUCGAGCGAACGGACGAGAAGCUUGCUUCUCUGAUGUUAGCGGCGGACGGGUGAGUAACACGUGGAUAACCUACCUAUAAGACUGGGAUAACUUCGGGAAACCGUAGCUAAUACCGGAUAAUAUUUUGAACCGCAUGGUUCAAAAGUGAAAGACGGUCUUGCUGUCACUUAUAGAUGGAUCCGCGCUGCAUUAGCUAGUUGGUAAGGUAACGGCUUACCAAGGCAACGAUGCAUAGCCGACCUGAGAGGGGGAUCGGCCACACUGGAGCUGAGACACGGUCCAGACUCCUACGGGAGGCAGCAGUAGGGAAUCUUCCGCAAUGGGCGAAAGCCUGACGGAGCAACGCCGCGUGAGUGAUGAAGGUCUUCGGAUCGUAAAACUCUGUUAUUAGGGAAGAACAUAUGUGUAAGUAACUGUGCACAUCUUGACGGUACCUAAUCAGAAAGCCACGGCUAACUACGUG